rnacentral:rRNA from 1 species
NNNNNNNNNNNNNCCGCCUGGGGAGUACGGCCGCAAGGCUGAAACUUAAAGGAAAGGGAGGUUGGGAGCUGGGUGCAAAGGUGAUAAUUAAGAAGUGAAUAUGAUUAUGAGGUUAAGUUGGCGCAGAGGAACUAUGAAUGUAAUCCUUGUCCUCUUUGUCUGUCCGUCCAGCUUCCACCUCCCCCUGAGUUGGCGGGGGGGCACCACAAGGGGUGAAGCUUGCGGCUUAAUUGGAGUCAACGCCGGAAACCUCACCCGGGGCGACAGCAGGAUGAAGGCCAGGCUAAUGACCUUGCCGGACGAGCUGAGAGGAGGUGCAUGGCCGUCGUCAGCUCGUGCCGUGAGGUGUCCAGUUAAGUCUGGCAACGAGCGCGACCCCCGCCCCUUGUUGCCACCCUACCCUUCGGGGUAGGGGGCACACAAGGGGGACUGCCGGCGUAAGCCGGAGGAAGGAGGGGGCUACGGCAGGUCAGUAUGCCCCGAAACCCCGGGGCUGCACGCGAGCUGCAAUGGCGGGGACAGCGGGUUCCGACCCCGAAAGGGGGAGGCAAUCCCGUAAACCCCGCCCCAGUAGGAAUCGAGGGCUGCAACUCGCCCUCGUGAACGUGGAAUCCCUAGUAACCGCGUGUCACCAACGCGCGGUGAAUACGUCCCUGCCCCUUGCACACACCGCCCGUCGCGCCACCCAAGGGGAUCCUUAACGAGGCCCCCUGGGUUCACUGGGGGGUCGAGUUGGGGGUCCCCAAGGGGGGCGAAGUCGUAACAAGGUGGCCGUAGGGGAACCUGCGGCCG